rnacentral:pre_miRNA from 1 species
GCUAUGACAAUGUUGCACUACUGUCUGCACAAAUAAAGCAGUGCAAUAAUAUUGUCAAAGCAU